rnacentral:lncRNA from 1 species
AAUGAUGGUUGUCAUUAUUGUUGGCUAUUUAUUAUUAGGCUAAAAUAGGUCUAAUUUCUUAUUAUAUGACAAUCGGCUCAGAAAACUAAUAAAUUAAAUUUGAUAAGCCUAAUAAGUUGAAUGAGACUAACGGACCACAAGAAAUCAAACAGCAAGAGGCCUAACAAUAAAUUUAACGUUCAGGCGGAUAGAGUCAGGUCGAAAGCCAUGAGCGCUGUAGUUGAGCCCUUAAGUAAGAUGGGUGCGCCCUUCUUAUCAGCAUAUAUUUUUAGAAUAGUUUGUUAGCGCUAAUGAUCUACAAUUAUCAAUACCUAAACCAAAAUCAUUUUUCUAAAGGUGACCUCCAGAUUGUUUUAGCGAGUAAUUACUUGAUGAUGUUAUUUUCUAAAUAAGAUCAUAGUAGGUGUUUGUUGGCUUAAAUAAAUCAACAACCUGCUCUGUGACGGGAGGCUAAGUUGGGUCGACUUUGUACACUUUAAGAGGCUAUUUGGUUGCAUGCAUUUCUAAUUGCAUUGCUAUUGAGAAUACAUGCAUCUAUUAAAAUUUUAUUUGAUUUGGUAUAAUUAGGCCCAACUGCUACAGUUGCAUCUGCACGAGAAGACCCAACUGCAGCAGUUAGGCCGGAGUCGGCUCACUCAUUAAAAAAAUAAAUAAAGUGUGAUUUUUUUUUCAUACGCUUCUUUUUUUUUUUUUUCAAAAAUACCUAUUCAGGAAAUCUUAUAGGGUUUAAUAAUGUUUGUUAGAAUCAAUAAAUUUUUUUCAUACGCUUCUUUUUUUCAGUCUGCUAGUUUAAUAAUAUCUUAAUUUUUGUUUUUACCAAAUCUAUAAUAUAUUGCGUUUAAAUGUUAUUAAAUUCAUACAUAAUUUUAUAAUAUAUAAAUUAUAUAUAGAUAUAAAAAUCUUAAUUAAUAAUUANUUAUUAGGCUAAAAUAGGUCUAAUUUGUUAUUAUAUGACAAUCGGCUCAGAAAACUAAUAAAUUAAAUUUGAUAAGCCUAAUAAGUUGAAUGAGACUAACGGACCACAAGAAAUCAAACAGCAAGAGGCCUAACAAUAAAUUUAACGUUCAGGCGGAUAAAGUCAGGUCGAAAGCCAUGAGCGUCGUAGUUGAGCCCUUAAGUACGAUGGGUGCGCCCUUCUUAUCAGCAUAUAUUUUAGAAUAGUUUGUUAGCGCUAAUGAUCUAAAAUUCUCAAUAUCGAAAUCAAAAUAAAUUUUCUAAAGGUGACCUCCAGAUUGUUUUAGCGAGUAAUUACUUGAUGAUGUUAUUUUCUAAAUAAGAUCAUAGUAGGUGUUUGUUGGCUUAAAUAAAUCAACAUCCUGCUCUGUAACGGGAGGCUGAGUUGGGUCGACUCUGUACGCUUUAAGAGGCUAUUUGAUUGCAUG